UUAAAUUGAAGAGUUUGAUCAUGGCUCAGAUUGAACGCUGGCGGCAGGCCUAACACAUGCAAGUCGAGCGGCAGCGGGAAACCGGCUU
rnacentral:rRNA from 1 species